rnacentral:rRNA from 1 species
ACUUUAAUUGAAGAGUUUGAUCAUGGCUCAGAUUGAACGCUGGCGGCAGGCCUAACACAUGCAAGUCGAGCGGCAGCGACAUGAUAGAAGCUUCGG